GUGUGUGUGUGUGUGUGUGCUGUCAGUCUGUGCACUGCUGUCCCACCCUGGUGUGUGUGUGUGUGUGUGUGUGUGUGUUGUCUGGCUCAGCACACAGAACUGCGGGGCAAUAGAUUAAAGCACAUCCGUAAACAAACCCACGCUCUCAUCUGCUUCUUGUGACUUUUCUCUCUCUGUUCCCUUCCCUCUUGCACUCCUUCACCCUCCCCUCUGCCCAUGAUGUCUGCUUCACCUUCUGGACAGCCCCUGCUCAGCUGAGCAACAGACAAACUACAGAUCCCUAAACUCUAUUAAAAUGUGUUUCACACCUGA